rnacentral:rRNA from 1 species
UAGGGAAUCUUCCGCAAUGGACGCAAGUCUGACGGAGCAACGCCGCGUGAGUGAAGAAGGAUUUCGGUUCGUAAAACUCUGUUGUUAGAGAAGAACAGCGCAUAGAGUAACUGUGAGGCGUGUGACGGUAUCUAACUAGAAAGCCACGGCUAACUACGUGCCAGCAGCCGCGGUAAUACGUAGGUGGCAAGCGUUGUCCGGAUUUAUUGGGCGUAAAGCGAGCGCAGGCGGUCAAUUAAGUCUGAUGUGAAAGCCCCCGGCUCAACCGGGGAGGGUCAUUGGAAACUGGUUGACUUGAGUGCAGAAGAGGAGAGUGGAAUUCCAUGUGUAGCGGUGAAAUGCGUAGAUAUAUGGAGGAACACCAGUGGCGAAGGCGACUCUCUGGUCUGUAACUGACGCUGAGGCUCGAAAGCGUGGGUAGCAAACAGG